UGGGAAGUCCCGGGGAUUUGUUAUGAGUGUGCAGCUUUUUCCGCUUCCGGGUAGAGGCCGAGCUCGUGGUGGUGGGUUUUAGCCUUCUGUCGGGAUGGAUGUAUUGCAUUCCCGUGCUCUCUAUGGAGCCCUCCAGUUCCCCCCUGGUUCCUGUGCCGGUUUCAUGGGGCGGCCGGGGCGCAGCCCCAGCCAUGCGGUGGGGAAGAGAGCAAGGGCGUUUGCUGGGCCGUGCUUAGCCGCUGCUUUCGGGACUGGCGUGUGGGCAGAGCCUGGAGACUCCGUGGAGCCGUGAGGGUGGAGCGGUGGGUUUCUCUGUUGGAGCCGGGGAACGUGCUACCGCCGCCUCCCCUACGGUGGGGUUUGGAGCUUUAUUCCAGCGGCCCCUUGGCGGUGCGGGCGGUGGGGGUGCUCCCCGGGUGAGGGUGCUAGGGGAGUCAAACCAGUGUUGAGCGGCUGAACGGAACCCGGGUAGAAGGGGAUUACAAAGGGACGGGCUGCUCUGAGGUAUUGGCUGCCUGUGCUGAGUGAUAUUCCUUGGUGAUGAAGCGCGUUCAGGUCUGCGAGUUGUAGCGGUGGAAGCAUGUGCUUAAAAGCGCAGUGCCACUGAGUCGGCACCUUUUGUUACCGGAGGCAGUGGAGUUUUUAUGUGGGUAGCUGACAAAGUGCAGGUGGGUUUGUUUCCUCGGUGGCUUUGGCUGUGCUUAGUGACUUGUUUGGCUGCCUUUUCUUGCUCAGGCUUGGCCGGUUUUAAUGUGAUUUUUGUGAUUAACGUGUUUUUAAUGUCAAGAAGGAGAGAUAAGAGCAAAGAACGGUCGGGCUGGCUGUAUGUGCAGAGGGGUUGAUUCAAGUUGAUGCUAGCAGAUGCACAAAACUGCCCAGCAUCAACCAGAGAAGUGCUGAAUUUGGAACGUGUCCAACUAACUCUAUGCUCCUGAGCAGAUGUGGUAUUCUUUCCAAGAACUUAGAGCAGAGCAUGGAAUCUCCUGCACCAGCCAGGUCCAUCCUAUAAUGAUUUAAAUCAACUGUUCAGAAGAAAUAUUAAUGGGACUCCUGUAAGACUCCUGACAUUUUGCUGAUGUUCCUGUUAGAAGACCUAUCACCUCAUUUUAAAAACAGUAAUAAAAACGUCAGUAUUCAAACUGCAGGGCUAAAAUGCUAACAGCCACAAAUUAGGUUAGUUCCAGGCAUUCUACUGAAUUCAUAGAACUACUAGUUAUGAACUGGUGGUUUGAGGCUCUUGUACAAUGCACAAGAAGGUAGGCAUCUAAGAAUGAUACUGUCAGCAGAAAGAUUUUUGUUUUUAAAAAUGGGAGGGCUAACUUAGCUGGUGAGAAAGAUGAGAAGUCGCAUUUCAGCAUAUCAUAACAGGACACCUCUUUGUGUCCAAGUCAGAUAUCUGCCCGUCUUUCUGACUUGUGGUAGUGCCUGGAAAUGAAGUCCCUUAUUGUGCCUUAACAAUUGAGCUCUACUUGGGUGUGUUUAUUGUCUUUUGAAGCUUUUUAGUGGGAUGGCUGCAGCUGUUCUGCAUGCCAGAUCAAUAUUUUCCAGGCAACACCUGGCAGCACUAAUAUAUCCUCAAUUUUGAGAGCAUCAAUAACGCUUAAAAUGUACUUAUAAUGUACUUACCUACUUAAAAAUGUACUUAAAAUUUGUGUGGGAUGCCUGAAUUGUGAACACUGAAGAAAUGUCUGUGGAAAGUUCCUGCUUAUUUUGAAGAUGCACUAGUUUGAGAAGUUGUGCAACAAGCAGCAGAAAUGUAGAAGUGAUGCAGAGCUUUUACUGGCAUAGAAGCUCAGGUCCUAUGGGAAACUGACAUUUUGGAAUCUGAGCUGUAUCUAACUUCCUGUCUUGGAUCUCACCUGGAGACCUAUAAGCAAAUUUGUUUCUGAACUAGAUGGGUAGUAAUAUUUCUAGAUUUAUAGCAUAUUCCCAAGAGGGUGUUUGUAUUAACUUUAAGGUACAACAGGUGAAGAAUAUGUGCAAAGUAACCUAAGUCAGUUUAACUAAUGGGUGAUCUACAUGGUCUAAGGCAUUUUUUUGCCUUGGAUCAUGUAAGGAUGCCUUUGGCAGAAAGAAGCCAUGCUAAUAAUCAGAGGGAAAAUGUGAGCCCCACAUUUACCAAAUAGAAUGAAAGAUCAUGCUAAAGUUUGAACAUGGACCUUUAAACAAGACACUCUCCAAGCCUACUUCUCAUUAAGAGAUUGUGUAUAUGCCUCUUUGUAGUAACACUGCUUUGUCAAUUGUGAAGCUGUCCUGGAACCAGGACAUCUAUGAACUUUGUAAUAGAGUAAAAUUAUUAUUUGGGAUAAGUAGGGUCCUUAACAGCUAUUCUGCCUGACCAGAAUCAUAGAUCCUUGUUCCUUACUUGCAGAUGGUAGUGGUGCUUAAGUUUCUUGGUAUUACAGAAGAAGCAUAAUUUUAUGUACUUUUAACUUUUAUGCUGAGCUGAAAAAUGUUACAUUUAAUGAAAAUACCUCUUGCCUCUUUUUACCCAGGAGCUAUGAAUGUCAAAGUCUUUCACGGGCCUAAAAAAACCUGGGCAAAGUCAAGAAAUACAAUUGAUCUGCUAAAUAUACAGAUAUUGUCAUGGGAUCAAGUCUUGAGCCAUAGAAAGCUAGGGACCAGGAUUAUAACCAUAUGCAUGUCCUGUUCCUUGCUUCCUGUGCAUUCAUGUUUGACCAGUAUUACAGAAACAGGAUCCUGGGUUCUGAGUUUUUGAUUUAACUUGGUAUGGUAAUUUGGACAAAUUGUAAUUUAUUUAAAAUUGUAAUUUAUUUAAAAUAUGGGAAAUGUCUUCUGGUCUUUCAUAACUGUGGGGAAAACCCCAGGACACAAUUUGCCUGCCAAAAAGAUUCUUGUGCCCCAGUUAAAUUCUACUGGCAUACUCUUGUGUAUAGCCAGGAUGGCAAGAGUGCUUUUGUCAGCUUAGCUUGUUUUAAGAAUGUGCAGUUGCAGUGAGGCAAGAAAAGCUCCAAUUAGAGUGUAUUUUGCGCCCAAGAGGGGGUUCCCAUAGCUCAUGUCUGUUGGCUGGUGAGCCUGAGUUACCAACCUCACUAAAAUGUCAGGCUGUAGUAACUGGACGUUUGUUGCCUCACAGAGUGAUUACAGCUGUUCUUGUUCACCACUUUUGAAUUCUCUUAUUACUUCUAUGUAAAUUUUUUUUAAAAAAAGAAAAAUACAGUAAGGUAUUUUUCUCUAUCAGUUUGAGAAAUGCAUCUCAUUACAAAAGCUUGCCUCAAUUUUAAUAAACAGUGCUGGCUAUCUGAUCUUCUCCACGGCAGAAGACAUGUAGUACCAAGCAUGUGUCAUCAUCAUAUGUGAGUUUCAACUGUAUGAAAUACUUCUUCAAGUAAAAAUUAGUGUUAUGUGCAGAUAGCUAUGUUUGUAAAGUAGAUGUGUUUGUUGUGGAGAAUCUUAAUUAUAAAGUAUUUUUAAAUCUUAGUAUUCUUGAAGUUCUUACCACAAUAUUUCAAUAAAGGUUUUAUUUUUUCAUCA